rnacentral:rRNA from 1 species
UACGGAGGAUGCGAGCGUUAUCCGGAUUUAUUGGGUUUAAAGGGUGCGUAGGCGGUUUUGCAAGUCAGCGGUGAAACGCACGGGCUUAACCUGUGACCUGCCGUUGAAACUGCGGGACUGGAAUGCGGAUGCUGUGGGAGGAAUGUGUGGUGUAGCGGUGAAAUGCAUAGAUAUCACACAGAACACCGAUUGCGAAGGCAUCUCACAAAUCCGUGAUUGACGCUGAGGCACGAAAGUGUGGGGAU